rnacentral:rRNA from 1 species
GCACGAAGUUAGCCGGUGCUUUCUCUAGCGGUACCGUCAUUUUCCGUAUUUAUUAGAUACAGACUUUUCUUCCCGCUUAACAGGAGUUUACAAUCCUAAGACCGUCAUCCUCCACGCGGCGUCGCUGCGUCAGGCUUUCGCCCAUUGCGCAAUAUACCUCA